GGUUGUGGCUCAAUGGUAUAGCACUCACCUGGCACAUGUGAGGCACUGGGUUCAAUUCUCAGCACCA
rnacentral:tRNA from 1 species